rnacentral:lncRNA from 1 species
UUGAAAUUGAAAUGAAGCAAUUCACAACUUACUCAUCUUAAAUCUCAUCUUUUUGGUUUGGGCCCAAGAUUCUAGUCUGUAACAAUCUCUUCUUGUCUCUGUUUCUAUUAACAAAGAUAUGUUUCCAAGAACUAGAUAUGUGCUCAGGCUGUCUCAGUUUAUGGGAGUUUAUUGUAAGGACAAAGAAAGCUUCUGCAGAGCCCCAGUGAAGGCAUUCUGAGCAGGGGAGAGGAGGUGAGCACAGCAGCUUCAGCGGGAGGACAGCCCUGGGGACUGGCUGCGGUAUACUCUCCAAACUUGUGGUGGAAUUAGCAGUCAUUCAGUUUCUCUUGUCACUCCGUCCAGCCUUUGAAGGACAACCCGGAAGGAGACUCAGAGGCUGGCUCUCUGAAGGGGUGGAGACACUCAUCUGUGGUCCCUGCGGUCAGCCUUCAGCAGUUUGAGUUGGGAGAGCUUUUUCGUUUCUGUAGAACUUGAAGGCUGCCGUUUGAAAUGGCACUGGAUCAAGUGUUCAUUGGCCACCACCUACUUCCGACAUGGAACACAACUGCUCGUCCAGUUGCAAGCACAGAAUGAAGGUGAAUCAGCUCAUGGAUGGCCUUCAGAAAUUCUGAGCUUGGUUUUAGACAUUGUAACAUAUAUUAAGACCAACAGGGCAAAAGAGGUCCUUUAAGUGUGAAAUUAAAGUAUUAUCCAAGGAUAGUCGUGUCUGUGGGAUCAAUAGUCUCCUGUUGU